GAUGAACGCUGGCGGCGUGCCUAAUACAUGCAAGUCGAGCGAACAGACGAGGAGCUUGCUCCUCUGACGUUAGCGGCGGACGGGUGAGUAACACGUGGAUAACCUACCUAUAAGACUGGGAUAACUUCGGGAAACCGGAGCUAAUACCGGAUAAUAUAUUGAACCGCAUGGUUCAAUAGUGAAAGACGGUUUUGCUGUCACUUAUAGAUGGAUCCGCGCCGCAUUAGCUAGUUGGUAAGGUAACGGCUUACCAAGGCGACGAUGCGUAGCCGACCUGAGAGGGUGAUCGGCCACACUGGAACUGAGACACGGUCCAGACUCCUACGGGAGGCAGCAGUAGGGAAUCUUCCGCAAUGGGCGAAAGCCUGACGGAGCAACGCCGCGUGAGUGAUGAAGGUCUUCGGAUCGUAAAGCUCUGUUAUUAGGGAAGAACAAAUGUGUAAGUAACUAUGGACGUCUUGACGGUACCUAAUCAGAAAGCCACGGCUAACUACGUG
rnacentral:rRNA from 1 species